CACGUAGGCGGAUAUUUAAGUUAGAGGUGAAAUCCCAGGGCUCAACCCUGGAACUGCCUUUAAUACUGGGUAUCUCGAGUCCGAGAGAGGUGAGUGGAAUUCCGAGUGUAGAGGUGAAAUUCGUAGAUAUUCGGAGGAACACCAGUGGCGAAGGCGGCUCACUGGCUCGGUACUGACGCUGAGGUGCGAAAGCGUGGGAGCAACA
rnacentral:rRNA from 1 species